rnacentral:tRNA from 1 species
AAAAAAUUAGUUAAAUAAAUAACAUUAACUUGUCAAGUUAAAAUUAUUAAAUUAUUAAUAUUUUUUA